AGAGCGAACGCUGGCGGCAGGCUUAACACAUGCAAGUCGAGCGGGCGUAGCAAUACGUCAGCGGCAGACGGGUGAGUAACGCGUGGGAACGUACCUUUUGGUUCGGAACAACACAGGGAAACUUGUGCUAAUACCGGAUAAGCCCUUACGGGGAAAGAUUUAUCGCCGAAAGAUCGGCCCGCGUCUGAUUAGCUAGUUGGUGAGGUAAUGGCUCACCAAGGCGACGAUCAGUAGCUGGUCUGAGAGGAUGAUCAGCCACAUUGGGACUGAGACACGGCCCAAACUCCUACGGGAGGCAGCAGUGGGGAAUAUUGGACAAUGGGCGCAAGCCUGAUGCAGCGACGCCGCGUGGGGAUGAAGGCCUUCGGGUUGUAAACCCUUUCACCAGGAACGAAUUCAGACGGUACCUGGGGAAGAGCGCCGGCUAACUACGUGCCAGCAGCCGC
rnacentral:rRNA from 1 species